rnacentral:rRNA from 1 species
GAUGAACGCUGGCGGCGUGCCUAAUACAUGCAAGUCGAGCGAACGGACGAGAAGCUUGCUUCUCUGAUUUUAGCGGCGGACGGGUGAGUAACACGUGGAUAACCUACCUAUAAGACUGGUAUAACUUGGGGAAACCGGAGCUAAUACCGGAUAAUAUUUUGAACCGCAUGGUUCAAAAGUGAAAGACGGUCUUGCUGUCACUGAUAGAUGGAUCCGCGCUGCAUUAGCUAGUUGGUAAGGUAACGGCUUACCAAGGCAACGAUGCGUAGCCGACCUGAGAGGGUGAUCGGCCACCCUGGAACUGAGACACGGUCCAGACUCCUACGGGAGGCAGCAGUAGGGAAUCUUCCGCAAUGGGCGAAAGCCUGACGGAGCAACGCCGCGUGAGUGAUGACGGUCUUCGGAUCGUAAAACUCUGUUAUUAGGGAAGAACAUAUGUGUAAGUAACUGUGCACAUCUUGACGGUACCUAAUCAGAAAGCCACGGCUAACUACGUG